rnacentral:rRNA from 1 species
GGUUGAUCCUGCCGGAGAUCACUGCUAUUGGAAUUCGGCUAAGGCAUGCNAGUCGAGAGGGUUCGGCCCUCGGCAGACGGCUCAGUAACACGUGGAUAAUCUGCCCUUAGGUGGGGAAUAAUCUCGAGAAAUUGAGCAUAAUGCCCCAUAGCUUUAGAAUGCUGGAAUGCUUCUAAGGCAAAAGCCCCGGCGCCUAAGGAUGAGUCUGCGGCCUAUCAGGUUGUAGUGAGUGUAACGGACUCACUAGCCGACGACGGUUACGGGUCCUGGAAGGGAGUGCCCGGAGAUGGACUCUGAGACACGAGUCCAGGCCCUACGGGGCGCAGCAGCUACGAAAACUUCACAAUGCGGGAAACCGCGAUGAGGGAAUUCCAAGUGCUUAUACUUUGUAUAAGCUGUUUACUUGCCUAAAAAGCAGGUAGAGUAAGGGCUGGGUAAGACUGGUGCCAGCCGCCGCGGUAAUACCAGCAGCUUAAGUGGUGAUCGUUUUUAUUGGGCCUAAAGCGUCCGUAGCCUGUUUGGUAAACCCUUGGGUAAAUCGGGCAGCUUAACUGUCCGAAUUCUGAGGAGACUGCCAGACUUGGGACCGGGAGAGGUCAGAGGUACUUCUGGGGUAGGGGUGAAAUCCUGUAAUCCUAGAAGGACCACCAGUGGCGAAGGCGUCUGACUAGAACGGGUCCGACGGUAAGGGACGAAGCCCUGGGUCACGAACCGGAUUAGAUACCCGGGUAGUCCAGGGUGUAAACGCUGCGGGCUUGGUGUUGGGGGUCCUACGAGGGCGUCCAGUGCCGGAGAGAAGUUGUUAAGCCCGCCGCCUGGGGAGUACGGUCGCAAGAUUGAAACUUAAAGGAAUUGGCGGGGGAGCACAGCAACGGGUGGAGCGUGCGGUUCAAUUGGAUUCAACGCCGGA